rnacentral:RNase_P_RNA from 1 species
GGAGUGGGCCGGAGGAUCGCCUCCGUAAGGAGGAGGAAAGUCCGAACUCCAACGGGCAGCAGGCUGGAUAACGUCCAGGCGUGGAGACGCGACGGAAAGUGCAACAGAAAGAUACCGCCUCUAACGGGGUAAGGGUGAAAUGGUGCGGUAAGAGCGCACCGCAUCGCACGCGAGUGCCGAUGGCAUGGCAAACCCCCUGCGGAGCAAGACCAAAUAGGGGAGCAGUGGAACCGCCCGUUUCCGUAGAAAGCUCCCGGGUAGGUCGCUUGACCGCCGCGGUAACGCGGUCGGCAGAUGAAUGAUCUUCGCUCUUUCGGGAGAACAGAAUUCGGCUUACAGGCCCACUCCACUU